GAUCGACCUGCGAACGGAACGGAACUGUCAGUGCUAACAAGAGCCUCUUCGUUUCGUUGUGCUGUUUUUGGUGCUGAGUGUUUGUAAAAAGUUACUAGCUUUUGGUUUUGUUUUGGUGCUUGUGUACAAUAGAAUUACAGAGGCAUGGCCCGGGGGCAGCGGCGGUAUUCCCGAAAAAAUAGGAAAGCUGAAAUUUAGAAGAAAAAAAAUAUUAAAUAAAGAUAUAAGAAGAGAUGUAAGAAGGCAAGCUGACAAUGGGAUGGUAUGUCUGCAAAGCCAAUCAUAAAGAACCAAAUAAACUGCUUAUGGGCUUAUGGUUAUAUUAAACCGAUUGCAUGUAUCAUAUUUGUUUUCUCAGCCUCACACUUUAACUCAGGUUCGCUGAAGCAUCGGCAAGCUGAAUGUGAGAUGGUAUGUUGAUGUCCUGUACAUUGACACGGAAAUGAGGCAUUGAAGAUGUUAUGUUGGGGACAAUGCAUGAUAGAACAG